AAUAAGAUUAAGGUUCCCAUGUGAUGGUCUCGUUCCUUGUCUUCAAGUGCAUUAUUGUUUUUUUUUUUUUUAAAUUAAGGAUAUCCUUCGAUACAAAGUUAGAGACAACUCUUUCAGGUACUCUCAGUCGCUUUUAAUAUAUGCUCUUUCAUAUAUACAAAUUUAGCAAUUGACUACAUGCAUCUUUAAAGAAUAUAUAUAGUUAACUAUUUCUAGAUCAUGUUGAUUUUUCAAGUGAAUUAUUAUGAAAGAACUUAAUUAUAUUUUCAUUCUUAGAGUGACUUUAACUGUUAUCAAGGUGUACAUGACGGGUGAAUAUGAAGCAAAUCUUUGUCUGGAUCUCAUUAGGUGACGAAAACCAGUUUAGAUGCAUGAUGAGGGAGAAGUUUGUUGCACGUAACUCCGACACAAAUCAACUGCAUGUGAAAGAAUGUCAAAGAAAUAUCACACUUCAUUUUUUGGUUGGAACUUGGAAGACAGGGAGUACCACAGUGGAACAGGAAAUAGGGAUAAUUGAAGGAGGGAAAGCACUUUUUCUUUUCGUUAAUUUAUUAAUAUUUAUAUGUAAUUCUAAUUUACCAAGGGCUAAGUGUUAAACAUUUAUAUAUAGUUUGUGGAGACUUUUUACAUUCUUUGA